GGCACCGGCUGAGCCUCGUGAUUCCGCUGGCACCACAUGCUCCGUUUUUCCGGCACUGCCAACAGCUGCCCAUCUCUGCUGGCUUGAAAGCAGCCUUCCUCCCAGGCAUCUGCAGGGACAGCUUCUGGGCUGGCUCUGGGGCUGAUGGCGUGGGCCCUGUUCCUUGCGACCCUCCUGCCCCCACCGUCCACUCUCCAAGUAGCAAUAAUUGUUCUAGCAAAUACUUUGAGGGCUUCUGUCACCCGCCAAGGGCUGUUUGAAAUAUAAUGAGUCCCUUAUAUUAACUAAUGUAAUCCUCCCACCACUCUCUGAUUACCCUUCAUUUCAAAUGAGGAAACUGAGGCAUGGAGAGAUUGAGCGGGGUGGGCCCACGGCUGUUGCGUGAUGGAGUUGGUCAUCUAGAACCUCCAUUAACCGUUUCUCGGGGGUAGGGGGUGGGUAUUAAAAUUGUGAGUGCCCCUCACCCUUUUCCCCUCUGUUCCUUCCCAAGUUCUCCAGGGCCACCAUUGAUAUUUCUCUGUCUCUGCACGAUAUUUGUCUGCCAGCACACCCACACACCCCAGAGAUGCACACCGACACUCACACGCGAGGCUCACACUCACACACACACAGUCACAGGUUCACAGACACAUGCACGUGAGCAGACACCUCCCCCCACCCACACACAGAGCGCACGUGGGCAUCGGGCUCAUUCUCAGUCCCAGGCACCCACGAGCCACGUGCCCAGAGUGACAGAUCACACGUGGGCAUGUCCUCACCCCUCACACGUUCACACACCUCCCUAGACACGCACACACACGCACACACACUCACACACACACGCUUACCCUUGCUCCCGGGUCUCUGAAACUGCACCAGGUGGGAUCUGUGGGCUCCCGGUGUAUCCCACGCACACGCCCAGCCUCCCCGGACAUCCCUCCCACUCAGGCCUCUGCAGUUGCCGCCGUCUGUUCAAGAACGUGUGCAGAAUGUGUGCAGGGCAGUCCCACUUUUCACCGUGGGUCCCACCCCAAUCACUGCACUUGCCCCGCCUCCUUCUCCCGGAACUGGGCCUCAGGUGAUUUGUUCUUAGCCAACAUCCAUGGAAUCUUCACCUCAAGCUGGAGACUGUGCCUGUGAGGGCACCAUUCCAUUCAGGGUGGCAAUUCUGUUAUGAGGCCCAUUUUACAGGUGAGGAGACUGAGUCCCAUAACUAUGCCAGUAAGUGGUAGAGUUUGGAUUCGAACCCAGGACUGAGCCCAGCAGCUCAUUGGAGGCGGCACUGAGACCCAGAGAAGGGGAGGGACGUGCCCCAGAUGUGCAACAAGUUGGCUGGACAUUUUUCCCUACCCACCCGCUUCCAGCCUUGUUCCGGAAAUGACCAAAGUCCUCCACGGACCCAGCAGAGCUGGACAGUAUCCCAAGCCCCUUCACUGCCCCGGAGCAGGGCGUGGAGCCUCUGGGAGGGCCCUGGGCUCACGCAGUCACCGGGGACAUCUCAGCCAGCUCCGGUUCAGAACAGCCCUGUAAACUUGGGUAUAAACACAAUUAAAAUUUUAUGAGAUUAUAUUUAAUACAUAUAAAAGACCAUUUCUAAGCUAUGAAACAUAUUAAAAAGAACCACUCUACUUAACAAUUUGAACCUUCCGGUCACCGGUGACGUUCCACCCUUCUGUCCCCUGCUUCCCAGAUGGAACCACUGCCUGGAUUUUGCUAAUUACACCCUUCUUCUUUUUAAAGAAUAGUUUGAGCCCAUGUGUGGGGAUCCCUGAGCUAACUGCACUUUUGAGACAUUGAAUCAUGUUCUGCGUUCUUGGAAGGAAGAUGAGCGCUUUUAAGGAGCAACCUGCAUCCAGACGUGCACCUUCCCUGCUUCCUUCCAGUUCUGCUCCUUGCUCCAGUGAGUGCUCUGAAACAGGACACUUCCCGCUGGUGCAGCCAGCAGGAGCAGGGAAGGUGCCUGGCAGCUCGGCCUUCUCUGAAGGAGGCGUGCCACCAACUGUACCUCCUGCAAUGCCCUCUCCCACCCUGUGUGCUUGGAAAGCCAGCUCCUCCUUCCAGGUUCAGCUAAAGGUUACAUUUCACGGGAGGCCUUCCCUGUGACCCACUUCCUCUUGUCCCCGGUGGAGUUGGAGCUGCCUUCCUGAGCCCUGUCAUAGUCCUUUGGUGUCCCCCCUGCCAAGGCAAAUGUGCUGGUAGCUGGAAAGAGCAGUUUUCUCAUCAGGUCCCAGAUGUAGCCAGCUGUCGACUGGAGCAGAUGCUCUCCAAGUGACCGAGAGAGCAGGUGAUGGCAGAUGGAUGACCCCUGGUGGAACCCCAUGUGCCAGGACCCCUGGGACCUCAGGGCAGGGAGGACUCUGGUCCCUUUGUCCAGGGCCUUUGUGGACUGGGGAUUUGGAGGCAGGACUGGAAGGAGACAGCCCAGGGCUCGGGGCUGUGUUUACCCAUCUGUGUUGAUGUGUGUGUGCAAGACACGUGUUCAGGUGAGUGGGUGUGCCAGCAGUGGGCAUGGUUGCGGGAGUGCAGAUGUUCACACAUGUGCUUACACAUGCAUGUGCACACCUGCGACCCCAAGUCCACACGCCCUGCAGAAUAGGCAAGGGCACCUCUCUUUUCUGCUCUCAGCUCCCCCUCCUGGACAGGCCUGUUUUCUCUAGGAGUGUCACACAGUACACAUUUAUGGAGCGCCUGCUGUGUGCAAGGCCCAGAGUGCACAAAGGGACAGGAAUGGUGGGAGACUACACACCCUGCCUGCUUGUCACGGUCCUGCCCCUCCAACCCCGUACUAGCUCUAAGCCAGGUGCUUCCACUUCCCAGAUGGACACUGAGACCCAGGGGCCGGAGAACGGCCCUGUUAGGUCAACAGUGGAGCUGGGAUGCUGCCAGCAGAAGCCUGUCAUUGACACUACUUGGCUUUCAGUCCUGGGUGCCAGGCAGAACAGGGCCUGUCAGAAAUUCAGCCUUCCAAGAGAAACCUGGCAUCGGAAGAGGGCACCCAAAAUCCUCCCUGUUCCCGCUGAUGGAAGCUGAACUUUCUGGGUAACAUUUCCCUGUGCCCUAGCUGUUAGCAGCAGCAGGGACUGAGGGUAAGUUGGGACAGUGUGGGUCGGCACCACCAAAGGUCCAAAUGUCUGAACCAGAGUACCCCCUGGGGACUGGGUCACCCCGCCCCACAUGCAUGCAUAAGUAUGCCUGCAUGCACACACACGUUCACGAAUGCUCGCACUCCAGAGAGGCAGCGGGAGCUGUGUAAGUCCACAAGAGUCCAUGCAGCCUCUGCCUCCCAGACCAGGUUUGCUCCUUUAACCCAGGUGCCACACAAGGGGACUCAUGGCUGCCAGCUGUCCUGUGCCCCCAUCUUCCUCAUCUGAGAAUAGGGACCCCGGCAGCAGCUUGAGGGAGAUGACCUUAUUUUUGGAUGAUCAGGUGGACAGAUUCCUUUCUGGGCCCCCAUCAGCCUUUGGAUGAGAGGGGUGAUGUGGGUUAUUAGCCAGUGUGAAUGUGGAGGUCGGGCAAGGGAGGAUCCCUGCCUGCCUUCCCCCAGUGCCCAAAUCCAAUCUGGAAAACCCCGAGCCAGGGCCUCUUUCUUGCAGUGAGGAUGACAGAAUGACAUAGCAAUCAGCGGUGGCCAGGGUCUUUUGCUUUCCAGCUGGGUGGCUGUGGGCAGGGGGCUUCACCUCACUGAAGCUCAGCUCCUAAUCUUUGAGGAUUUCAUGGCGCUUGGAGACAGAGGUGCUGGGCCCAUGCCAGCACCCAGAAGUGACAGCUGGGAUGACCAGGGCUUAUUAUGGAUGACCGCACCACCUGAACCACAGGACUUGGACCCAUCUUGCAGCCCAGGUGCAUCUGAGUUCCAAGCCUGCCAUGACUCCCAGCAGGUGGAAUUUCCACUCAAAGAGCUCAAGAAAGGCGCCCGCGCUGCCGCCGGGGACUGGGUUUCUCAGCUGUCUUUGUGUGGCAGCCGCCAGCGAGGCGGUGGCACGCGGCUCGGGUUUCCGAUUUUAAUGAUUCCCUGAAUUCAUUCAGUUUCCUACCUCAGGGAAAGGAGGAGAGGUGAUCCUCUUGAA